rnacentral:rRNA from 1 species
GACGAACGCUGGCGGCGUGCUUAACACAUGCAAGUCGAACGAUGAAGCCAGCUUGCUGGUGGAUUAGUGGCGAACGGGUGAGUAACACGUGGGUAACCUGCCCUCAGCUUUGGGAUAACUCCAAGAAAUUGGGGCUAAUACCGGAUAUGACUGCUCAUCGCAUGGUGGGUGGUGGAAAGUUUUUCGGCUGGGGAUGGGCCCGCGGCCUAUCAGCUUGUUGGUGGGGUGAUGGCCUACCAAGGCGACGACGGGUAGCCGGCCUGAGAGGGUGACCGGCCACACUGGGACUGAGACACGGCCCAGACUCCUACGGGAGGCAGCAGUGGGGAAUAUUGCGCAAUGGGCGGAAGCCUGACGCAGCGACGCCGCGUGGGGGAUGACGGCCUUCGGGUUGUAAACCUCUUUCAGCAGGGACGAAGCCGGAAGGUGACGGUACCUGCAGAAGAAGCACCGGCCAACUACGUGCCAGCAGCCGCCGUAAAAC